rnacentral:rRNA from 1 species
UACAGAGGUCUCAAGCGUUGUUCGGAUUCAUUGGGCGUAAAGGGUGCGUAGGUGGCGGGGUAAGUCAGGUGUGAAAUCUCGAGGCUCAACCUCGAAACUGCACUUGAUACUGCCUUGCUCGAGUACUGGAGAGGAGAUUGGAAUUUACGGUGUAGCAGUGAAAUGCGUAGAUAUCGUAAGGAAGACCAGUGGCGAAGGCGGCCUUCUGGACCAGUACUGACGCUCAUGCACGAAAGCGUGGGGAGCAAACAGG